GCCGGGGUGGCGGAAUGGGUAGACGCACGGGACUUAAAAUCCCGGGACCUUCGGGUCGUGUCGGUUCGAGUCCGACCCUCGGCA
rnacentral:tRNA from 1 species